UACGUAGGGGGCAAGCGUUGUCCGGAAUUAUUGGGCGUAAAGAGCGCGUAGGCGGUCCGAUAAGUCGGCUGUGAAAGUCAGGGGCUCAACCCUUGAAAGCCGGCCGAUACUGUCGGACUAGAGUCCGGAAGAGGCAAGUGGAAUUCCCGGUGUAGCGGUGAAAUGCGCAGAUAUCGGGAGGAACACCAAUGGCGAAGGCAGCUUGCUGGGACGGUACUGACGCUGAGGCACGAAAGCGUGGGUAGCAA
rnacentral:rRNA from 1 species